GGGGUGAAAGGCCAAUCAAACCGGGAGAUAGCUGGUUCUCCCCGAAAGCUAUUUAGGUAGCGCCUCGUGAACUCAUCUUCGGGGGUAGAGCACUGUUUCGGCUAGGGGGCCAUCCCGGCUUACCAAACCGAUGCAAACUCCGAAUACCGAAGAAUGUUAUCACGGGAGACACACGGCGGUGCUAACGUCCGUCGUGAAGAGGGAAACAACCCAGACCGCCAGCUAAGGUCCCAAAGUCAUGGUUAAGUGGGAAACGAUGUGGGAAGGCACAGACAGCCAGGAUGUUGGCUUAGAAGCAGCCAUCAUUUAAAGAAAGCGUAAUAGCUCACUGGUCGAGUCGGCCUGCGCGGAAGAUGUAACGGGGCUAAACCAUGCACCGAAGCUGCGGCAGCGACACUUAGGUGUUGUUGGGUAGGGGAGCGUUCUGUAAGCCGUUGAAGGUGACCUGUGAGGGUUGCUGGAGGUAUCAGAAGUGCGAAUGCUGACAUAAGUAACGAUAAUGCGGGUGAAAAACCCGCACGCCGGAAGACCAAGGGUUCCUGUCCAACGUUAAUCGGGGCAGGGUGAGUCGACCCCUAAGGCGAGGCUGAAAAGCGUAGUCGAUGGGAAACAGGUUAAUAUUCCUGUACUUGGUGUUACUGCGAAGGGGGGACGGAGAAGGCUAGGCUGGCCGGGCGACGGUUGUCCCGGUUUAAGCGUGUAGGGGGAGUGACCAGGUAAAUCCGGUUGCUUAUCAACCCUGAGGCGUGAUGACGAUGCACUACGGUGCAGAAGCAGUUGAUGCCAUGCUUCCAGGAAAAGCCUCUAAGCAUCAGGUAACAUUAAAUCGUACCCCAAACCGACACAGGUGGUCAGGUAGAGAAUACUCAGGCGCUUGAGAGAACUCGGGUGAAGGAACUAGGCAAAAUGGUGCCGUAACUUCGGGAGAAGGCACGCUGGCGUUAGGUGAAAGGACUAGCUCCUGGAGCUGAAGCCAGUCGCAGAUACCAGCUGGCUGCAACUGUUUAAUAAAAACACAGCACUGUGCAAACACGAAAGUGGACGUAUACGGUGUGACGCCUGCCCGGUGCUGGAAGGUUAAUUGAUGGGGUCAGCCGCAAGGCGAAGCUCUUGAUCGAAGCCCCAGUAAACGGCGGCCGUAACUAUAACGGUCCUAAGGUAGCGAAAUUCCUUGUCGGGUAAGUUCCGACCUGCACGAAUGGCGUAAUGAUGGCCAGGCUGUCUCCACCCGAGACUCAGUGAAAUUGAACUCGCUGUGAAGAUGCAGUGUACCCGCGGCAAGACGGAAAGACCCCGUGAACCUUUACUAUAGCUUGACACUGAACAUUGAGCCUUGAUGUGUAGGAUAGGUGGGAGGCCUUGAAGUGUGGACGCCAGUCUGCAUGGAGCCAACCUUGAAAUACCACCCUUUAAUGUUUGAUGUUCUAACUCGGCCCCAUGAUCUGGGGUGAGGACAGUGUCUGGUGGGUAGUUUGACUGGGGCGGUCUCCUCCCAAAGAGUAACGGAGGAGCACGAAGGUUAGCUAAUCACGGUCGGACAUCGUGAGGUUAGUGCAAAGGCAUAAGCUAGCUUGACUGCGAGAGUGACGGCUCGAGCAGGUACGAAAGUAGGUCUUAGUGAUCCGGUGGUUCUGAAUGGAAGGGCCAUCGCUCAACGGAUAAAAGGUACUCCGGGGAUAACAGGCUGAUACCGCCCAAGAGUUCAUAUCGACGGCGGUGUUUGGCACCUCGAUGUCGGCUCAUCACAUCCUGGGGCUGAAGUAGGUCCCAAGGGUAUGGCUGUUCGCCAUUUAAAGUGGUACGCGAGCUGGGUUUAGAACGUCGUGAGACAGUUCGGUCCCUAUCUGCCGUGGGCGUUGGAAGAUUGAGAGGGGCUGCUCCUAGUACGAGAGGACCGGAGUGGACGAAUCACUGGUGUUCGGGUUGUCAUGCCAAUGGCAUUGCCCGGUAGCUAAAUUCGGAAGAGAUAACCGCUGAAAGCAUCUAAGCGGGAAACUUGCCUCGAGAUGAGUCUUCCCUGGGGCUUAAAGCCCCCUGAAGGAACGUUAAAGACUAUGACGUUGAUAGGCUGGGUGUGUAAGUGCAGCGAUGUAUUGAGCUAACCAGUACUAAUGAUCCGUGAGGCUUAACCUU
rnacentral:rRNA from 1 species